CACGCAGCCCAACUCAACUGGAGUCCUGAGAAGGUGAACAGACCAGGAUGGAUGCCCAGGGAACUCACCAGAAGUCCCCAGGCAUCAGAACAAGGUCGAAACAUCCUGGUGCUCACCUUCUAGCACAUUCUUCAAGAGUGACUCUGAGGCAAGCCAGCCGCCAUGUCAUGAGGACACUCAAGCAGCACCAUGGAGAGGUCCGAUGGCGAGGAACAGAGGAUCCCCCUGCCGACAGCCAAUGAGGAACAGGCCUCCUGCCAACAGCCGUGUAAGGGGUCACCUUGGAAGCCAAUGGCCCCUCCCUGGUCAGGCUUUUACAUGACUGCAGUCCUGGCCAACAUCCUGACGGCAACCUCAUGAGAGACCUUGAGCCAGAGCCACCCACCUAAGCUGCUUCUAGGUUCCUGGCCCUCAGAAACCACGUGAGAUCAUAAAUGUUUGCUCAAUUUGAGAUAUUUGUGAUGUAGCAAUAAAUAACAAAUACACUU
rnacentral:lncRNA from 1 species